rnacentral:rRNA from 14 species
UGCACGAAUGGCGUAACGACUUCCCCGCUGUCUCAAAUGUGGACUCAGCGAAAUUGAAUUUCCUGUCAAGAUGCAGGAUACCCGCGGUUAGACGGAAAGACCCCAUGCACCUUUACUAUAGCUUCGCAUUGGCAUCAGGCACAGUAUGUGCAGGAUAGGUGGUAGGCUUUGAAGCCGGGACGCUAGUCUCGGUGGAGCCUCCCUUGAGAUACCAC